rnacentral:misc_RNA from 1 species
AAAAAAAAAAAAAACCAGCAUAGUAUAUGAAACUUGUAUGGGGUUAGUGACUUCUUUUGCAUGAGCUUAUAAAUUAUAUGGUCAAUGUAACUUGCAAACAGGGUAAAUGAACACUAUAGACCAUAUGGAUGAUAUCUACUAAAAGUUAACAGCCACAAUUUUAUGGAUAAUAUAACAUUGCUUUAGAUAAGAUGCCUUGAAUCAUUUUUUGAGAGAUUGAAUAAUAGGAACAAUAUUUCAAAAUAUCACAAAAUGGAAUAAAAAAAGAAGACAUAAAUUAGUAAUUAAUAUAUGGAAAAUUUCUACUUAAAUAGCACCAUAAAUCGAAAUAGGUCCCAAAAUUACUAAAGGGCUAUGUAUCUGAUUUUUAGAGACCAACAACACCUAUUUUAUCGAAACAUCACUUUUAAUUAGAAAAAAAAAAUCCACAAAUGAAAGGAAUUUAAUCUGAAAAAAAAAAAGAAGAAGGAAUCAUAGAGUUUAUCAUUACCUACACUAACGCAUAAUCAAGAAUGUGGUCCGAUAUUGCGAUUGGUUAAUGUAGAUUGGAACACGAGUUAGAACUUGCACAGCGUGAAAUCAAAGAGAUGCCUGAUUUAAUUCCAAAACUUUGAGUGAAGGGCUUGAGCUUUGAGUGGCUGAUGUCUAUUGGUACGACUGGCGUGGGUCUGUAGCUGUCUGAACUGUUGCAUCUUUUGGUAGACUUGAACCAUUGCUCGUGUUAUGAUUAAUGCGGAUGCUAUGAACCCCAAAUAGAAUCCUGACUUGUGUUGAUUGGAGAUGAGCUACGCAAAUGGUGCUAAUUUUGUGAGAUUUGGAGAGCUGAAAAAUGGGUAAGAGAUGGACAUGGAAAGAGGUUGUGAGAUGGAGUUGGAUUGGGCCUGAUGUGAGGUGGAAUUAAGAUGAAAGACGACUGAGAGGGAUCAAGGAAGCGUUAAAAUAUUAGGAUACGAGUGGAAAUUGAAAGGGAGAGAAUGGGAGGAAGGCUGCUCCUGCAAUGUCGUUUUGAAGAGAGAAAGAAGAUUCAAAGAUUUUUUUUACUCUAAAAUUCACUCCUCUAAAAAUGCUCCUCCUCCUUCCUAACAGUAAAUGAAUGGCAUUUAUAAAGAAAU